CGUGCUUCCGCUUCUCCUUCUCCUUCUUCCCUCCCCCCACACCCCCAAACCUCUCGCGCUCGCUAGGGUUUUCGGUACCCCCUUCCCCCCCUGCGCUUCCUCCGGCGACUCCUCGCCAUGGCCUCCGGAGCCCUAGAGGCCGCAGAGCCCGAAGGGGCGGCGGCUCCUCCCCCCGUCGAGGGCAAGGAGGAGCUCCCCGAGAAAUUAGAGGCGGAGGAGGCGGCGCAAGAGGACCGAGAGAUCGCCGCUCCGGAGGAGGAGGCCGAGGCUUCCGACGAGGAGGCUCUGCUGGUCGCCGCCGAGGCCCCGCCGGCUGCGUCGCCUCCGAGAGGCCAUGCCCGUGAUGUCCAUAUCCUGAGUUGUGGGUUCCUGCUCAUCUUCUCGGCCUACGGUGUUGCUCAGAAUCUCGAGAGCACCGUGAACACCGUGAGUUUUCCGAGUCGAUUUCGUUGGAAUUUUGGGUAAAUUGAGAGAAGAAAUCGACAGUCGUGAGAUGAAAACCCAGAGGCAGAUUUUGCACUUCUGGGCGGAUAAUUUGGGCACGACAGGCAACGCAAGUAAAGAAGAAAGGCAGACAGGCAACGCAACAAAGAGAUAUAGAAUCUACAGUAGAGAACAUUAGUGAUUUGGAGGAUGAUCAAAGCCAUCGUGUGGGGAAGUCGCUUUUACACUCAGUGAAGUGGGAGCGCAUUAUUUUGGAUGAGGCUCACUUUGUCAAAGAUAGGCGAUGUAAUACUGCAAAAGCAGUUCUCGGACUGGAGUCUUCAUACAGAUGGGCUUUAAGUGGAACACCUCUUCAAAAUCGUGUUGGGGAGCUCUACUCUCUUGUAAGUUUCUAUUUUAUACGAGUGGUUAAUUGUUAUUCACCUUCUGUAGUCAAUCACAUUGUCCUGCAAUAAACUUUUCGGGACCGUUUUCUUCGAAUUGUGCCGUAUUCAUUCUACUUAUGUCAAGAUUGUGAUUGCAGAACACUUGAUUAUAGUUCCUCAAAACAAUGUCCUGAAUGCUCUCACGGUUCCGUACGGCACUUUUGUUGGUGGAAUCGAUAUAUAGUGAAUCCUAUACAAGCACAUGGAAAUGCCGUUGGCAGAAGGCGAGCAAUGAUAUUACUAAAACACAAUUUUGAAAAACAUUUUGCUGAGACGCACAAAAAAGGGAAGAGCUGCUGAUCUUGCACUUCCACCUAGAAUUGUUACUUUGAGGCGGGAUACACUGGACAUUAGAGAAGAGGAUUAUUACACAUCAUUGUACAAUGAGAGCCAAUCUAACCUUGUGCGGUGUGCAUAUUGAUUGGUAUUUCACUUUCUUCUCUGGGCUCGUGGGACUUUUGAGUAUCGCAUUGUAUGUCAACAAGUGAAUGUCACUUCUUUGGAGGAGGUGAUGAAGCACUUCAUGCAAACCUUAUAGGAGAAAGCAGAGUGGGCGCAAGAUUGGAAGUAUCUUUUCAUACAUAUCGGGGAUAAGCUUUGCUUCAGCAUCUUCAGUGCCAGAAGUGCAGUUGGCCCAAUAUGUUCCUACCCUGGAAAGAAUUGCCACCCCGAGGUUGCUUAAGCAAGUGCUUUAAAGUGCUCAAGAUUAUUUAUUCUUUCAUUAUGUGUACUAUAAAGAAAAGUAUAUAUGUCAUUCUUGUGGAAAAUGCAGAUGAAUGUAUUUCAUUUUCAUAUUAUUAUAAUAUUUUGAUGUUA